rnacentral:tRNA from 1 species
GAGAGUAUAGCUCAGUGAUAGAGUGUGUGCUUAGCAUGCACGAGGUCCUGGGUUCAAUCCCCAGUGCCUUCA